rnacentral:rRNA from 1 species
UACAGAGGUCUCAAGCGUUGUUCGGAUUCAUUGGGCGUAAAGGGUGCGUAGGCGGCGCGGUAAGUCGGGUGUGAAAUCUCGGAGCUUAACUCCGAAACUGCAUUCGAUACUUCCGUGCUUGAGGACUGGAGAGGAGACUGGAAUUUACGGUGUAGCGGUGAAAUGCGUAGAUAUCAGGAGGAACACCGGUGGCGAAGGCGGUUCUCUGGGCAUUACCUGACGCUGAGGAGCGAAAGUGUGGGGAGCGAACAGG